rnacentral:tRNA from 1 species
UGCCCCUUAGCUCAGGCGGUAGAGCGCGUGCCUGAAAAACACGGCGGCCGUGGUUCGAUUCCACGAGGGGCAA